AACGAACGCUGGCGGCAGGCUUAACACAUGCAAGUCGAGCGCGUAGCAAUACGAGCGGCAGACGGGUGAGUAACGCGUGGGAACGUACCCUUUACUACGGAAUAGCUCCGGGAAACUGGAAUUAAUACCGUAUGUGCCCUUUGGGGGAAAGAUUUAUCGGUAAAGGAUCGGCCCGCGUUGGAUUAGCUAGUUGGUGGGGUAAUGGCCUACCAAGGCGACGAUCCAUAGCUGGUCUGAGAGGAUGAUCAGCCACAUUGGGACUGAGACACGGCCCAAACUCCUACGGGAGGCAGCAGUGGGGAAUAUUGGACAGUGGGCGCAAGCCUGAUCCAGCCAUGCCGCGUGAGUGAUGAAGGCCUUAGGGUUGUAAAGCUCUUUCACCGGAGAAGAUAAUGACGGUAUCCGGAGAAGAAGCCCCGGCUAACUUCGUGCCAGCCGCCGCGGUAAUAC
rnacentral:rRNA from 1 species